GGGUUUGUAGCUCAGCGGAUUAGAGCUCAUGGUUCCGCAGCAUGAGGUCAAGGGUUCGAAUCCCUUCUAACCCU
rnacentral:tRNA from 1 species